UACGAAGGGGGCUAGCGUUGCUCGGAAUUACUGGGCGUAAAGGGCGCGUAGGCGGAUACUUAAGUCGGGGGUGAAAGCCCGGGGCUCAACCUCGGAAUUGCCUUCGAUACUGGGUAUCUUGAGUUCGGGAGAGGUGAGUGGAAUGCCGAGUGUAGAGGUGAAAUGCGCAGAUAUCGGGAGGAACACCAAUGGCGGAGGCAGCUCGCUGGGACGGUACUGACGCUGAGGCGCGAAAGCGUGGGGAGCAAACAGG
rnacentral:rRNA from 1 species